CGUAAACAACCUGCCUUAAGGAUGGGGAUAACAGACGGAAACGACUGCUAAUACCGAAUACGUUCUAAGCAUCGCAUGGUGCAUAGAAGAAAGGGUAGCCUCUACAAGAAAGCUAUCGCCUUAAGAGGGGUUUGCGACUGAUUAGGUAGUUGGUGAGGUAACGGCUCACCAAGCCGACGAUCAGUAGCCGGUCUGAGAGGAUGAACGGCCACACUGGAACUGAGACACGGUCCAG
rnacentral:rRNA from 1 species